rnacentral:rRNA from 1 species
UACGUAGGGCGCAAGCGUUGUCCGGAAUUAUUGGGCGUAAAGAGCUCGUAGGCGGUUUGUCGCGUCUGCUGUGAAAACCUAAGGCUCAACCUUGGGCUUGCAGUGGGUACGGGCAGACUAGAGUGCGGUAGGGGUGACUGGAAUUCCUGGUGAUAGCGGUGGAAUGCGCAGAUAUCGAGGAGGAACACCGAUGGCGAAGGCAGGUCACUGGGCCGCAA